CGCACAAAAUCUGUAAUCUAAUUAUAACUGUUCUGGUUCAGAUUCUUACUUUGUAAACAAGAAAAUCCGCUUAUUUCAUAAAAAGAGGAUGCAGUGUUUGCGAACUACUGAAUAUGCAUAUACUUGGAACGCCAACGAGGUCCCGUGGACGGCGGCAAUAAAAAAUAUGCCGGGAAUCAAGAGUAGGAUAUCGAAACGAGUUGAGCGGCCGCACAGGGAGCCUGGCGUGCACUUGGUCAAACAACGAGAUCUCUAUGGUGGCCUCCGUUUAUUGGCGCUUCUAAUUCAGGACCGGAAGGGGCCGAAAGGCAACGGCGAAAACAGACCUCCCGGAUUAAAAUAGGCUGCCAUAACACUUGGCUUAAAUGCUUUGUAUUAAUAAUUAACACGUUCUAGCGGCAAGCUGCGGUCACGAUCGCCCCGUCUUGACCCCUACCUCCCGCACCGCCAUUGGUCUUUUGAAUAGACUUCCACAAUUUUUUCCGUUUUCUCUUUCGGAACAAAACUCUCCUUUCAUUCCACGAAAAUUCGCGCCGCGUCCCGCGUUCGACCCUCGCUCGCGAAUUACUGCGCUAAUCGAUUGCUGAAUGAUAUUUAUAAAUAGUGCUAGCCUACGUAUACGGUAGCGUUGAACGUGCACGUGGUCCCCGACGAUUGCUACGGAAUUAAUGGAAACGUUUAUGCGUACAGUAGCUCCUGAAAGUGUUCGGUUACUGGCCAGAUCCGAAG